UACGUAGGCAGCAAGCGUUGUUCGGAAUUACUGGGCGUAAAGAGUGUGUAGGCGGCGCUCUAAGUUCGGUGUGAAAUCUCCCGGCUCAACCGGGAGGGUGCGGCGAAUACUGAGAUGCUGGAGUACGGGAGAGGUAAGCGGAAUUCCUGGUGUAGCGGUGAAAUGCGUAGAUAUCAGGAGGAACACCUGCGGUGUAGACGGCUUACUGGACCGUAACUGACGCUGAGGCACGAAAGCGUGGGUAGCAAACAGG
rnacentral:rRNA from 1 species